rnacentral:rRNA from 1 species
GUGGGGAGCAAACAGGAUUAGAUACCCUGGUGGUCCACGCCGUAAACGAUGUCGACUAGCCGUUGGGAUCCUUGAGAUCUUAGUGGCGCAGCUAACGCGAUAAGUCGACCGCCUGGGGAGUACGGCCGCAAGGUUAAAACUCAAAUGAAUUGACGGGGGCCCGCACAAGCGGUGGAGCAUGUGGUUUAAUUCGAAGCAACGCGAAGAACCUGACCUGGCC